rnacentral:rRNA from 1 species
CCUACGGGGGGCUGCAGUAAGGAAUAUUGGUCAAUGGACGAAAGUCUGAACCAGCCAUCCCGCGUGCAGGAUGAAAGCCCUAUGGGUUGUAAACUGCUUUUAGCAGAGAAGAAAAGCUUUCAUUAAUGAGAGUCUGACGGUAUCUGCAGAAUAAGCACCGGCUAACUCCGUGCCAGCAGCCGCGGUAAUACGGAGGGUGCGAACGUUAUGCGGUUUUACUGGGUUUAAAGGGAGCAUUGGGGGAGUGGUGAAAUCUUGUCGCUUAACGAUAAGAUUGCCAAUGAUACUGGUACUCUUGAAUUGGGUUGAGGUUAGCGGAAUGUGACAUGUAGCGGUGAAAUGCAUAGAUAUGUCAUGGAACACCAAUUGCGAAGGCAGCUAACUGGGCCUUGAUUGACGCUGAGGCACGAAAGCGUGGGUAGCGAACAGGAUUAGAUACCCGGGUAGUC